UGAAGUCUAACUCGAGGUGGGGCUGGACCUAUUUGGUCUUGCCCAGAUCUCUGCAAGGACUUUGAGUGGGUGCCUGAGAGCAAGGGGGCCAAGACAACAGGAGGAAAAGUUGGGAAGGACCGUCUACGGCCUAGCAUCUGACCUAACCUGCACUAGAGGGAUCCAUUACGGUUCCGGAGGCGGCAGUACUCAAAGGCCACCUGGGCAUACUCAUGCUCUUUACCUCCCUCAUCACCAAAACAGCUGUCUACCUGAAGGUCCUUGGAGUUCAUCAGGAAGGCCAUAUACAGACAGAAACAGAAGAGUAUGAAAAGUUAAGCAGGUAUCAUGCCCUAACUUGGGAUGAGGCUACUUGUUUUUCGGGACUUACUUCCCCUUGAAACCAUUCAACCCUGCCUGGGUAGCUUGUGCUGAACAAAUACUUAACAGACGCCUUCAGAUACAGGUGCCUAGAAGGGAAAACAUCCAAAUGUUCUUUGGUAGGAUAAAGUAUGGCAACUAUUGCCUCAUCUUCAGAAGGCAAAGACAGAGUACCAGCCCCCUUACAGCACCUACUGUGCUCACAACACUGGGAACCAGAGCUUAUCUUUUGUAGGGGGCUCAACGUUGCGGGGAAGGGCCAAGGCAAGACCUAUUUUGUUGUAAGCAAUAGCAGGGCUGGGUUGCGAGAAGCACCAGUUGUUUCUGUGUUUCACAGGCGUUCAUCAGGUGCUAAACUGCUCAGGAGAUUAAUAUGGGCUGAGAGCCUCCAGGCAGCACUGAGGAGACACCGAAACACCAAAGCCGCCGCUGCCACCACCAGCUGAUGCAAGUUUUAUUGAGACAAUGUACAAACAGGCCAUGGAAACAAGGGUUCUGAUGCCGGGACCAGUAACGUAAAAUGAAUACAAAAAUAAAAAGGCACUAAUCUGUUAAGAAAAGACA